UACGGGGGGGGCAAGCGUUGUUCGGAAUUACUGGGCGUAAAGGGCUCGUAGGCGGCCAACUAAGUCAGACGUGAAAUCCCUCGGCUUAACCGGGGAACUGCGUCUGAUACUGGAUGGCUUGAGGUUGGGAGAGGGAUGCGGAAUUCCAGGUGUAGCGGUGAAAUGCGUAGAUAUCUGGAGGAACACCGGUGGCGAAGGCGGCUACCUGGACCGGUUCUGACGCUGAUGCGCGAAAGCGUGGGUAGCAAACAGG
rnacentral:rRNA from 1 species